GUGAAUCAUCGAAUUUUUGAACGCAAAUUGCACUCUCCUCGGAGAGUAUGCCUGUUUGAGGGUCAGCCUAAAAAAAAUCGAAAUUGUUUGCUGUUCGGGGUGAAGGUUGGUGGGAAUUGGGUUAAUUUUAAACUUUUGGGUUUAGGGGAUUAAAAUUUUUCUUUUGGUUUCAUGGAAGGUUUCAAGGAUUAAUUCUUUUAAAGGUUUAGGUAU
rnacentral:misc_RNA from 1 species